ACCUUGUUUACUUUACAUAUAACAGUAGUUUAGUUAUAUAAUAUAUAGACUUAGAGAGACCUUCUAAAAAAGGUUCAAAUGUAUGACUGGCCUGCGAAACCUUAAAUUAAAGUGAAUAAAUGAGGACUCGGCACACCACUUCUGAAAGCUUGCCGACUCGUUAUAGAUAGACCUGCCAUUUUUACUUGUAUACAUGAUGCUUUCAAGUAAACUUGAUUCCCUGUAGGUAUUUUGGAAAGCUUUAAAAAAUUCAAGCAUUGCUGCAAUGAUGGAAUGGCAGUGUUCAUCAAACAGGAAUAUUGAAAACCAAAAGUAAGUUAGUGUGUAUAAAAUUCAGGUGAAUCUGUCAUGUGCAGCAUGCAAGCCUCUACCUCCAAUGAACAGGGGACCUCUGCUAUACAGUUGGUCUACACUCAACUGAAUUUUUGCAGUUUAAGAUAAGGUAUCAACGUUUUUUUAUUGGGUGCUUGCUAUUUUCUAGUCACCUGGGCAAGUGAUUUAGCCAAGCCUUCAAAUAUUUCUCACUACAUCAUGAAUACCUGCCAUGUUCUGCUGUGAGCAUUAUAAAUUGAAUUUCUCUUCAGACUGCAUACAUUUGGGAAACAGUAUUGCAUUUCCCUGUGGAUACUUUUCCAUAUUGCUUGCUUCCUUCCCAGACCAAUUGUUUACGCACUAUCUUAAGUUCCUGAAUUAUUUAGCUGCCAACUGCAGGCAUGUAUUUUUGUUUUUUUAAUCUUGGCCACUAGGUCCCUCUGUUGUAACUUUGUGAGCAGUUACAGUGUGUGGAUGUUUCCAUUCAGUCAGCUUUUAAAGGUGGUGUUAGUCCAGGGACUGUCAAUAAAUGUUAGCAAUGAUACCUAAGCGCUUCCUGAUGCAGACCAUGUGCAAUUUCACCUGUAUUUUGUAAACAGGCUUUUAAAACGUAUUUUAUAUGGUGAAACCUUUCAGAAUAUUUUUAUAUCCUUUAGGAAAGGGCUUAAUGCUGCAAAAUCAGGUUUAAAACCAAAUGCGAGUGACUAGCGUGGCUUAAGGCACCACAUUUUUAUUGUUGCAUGAGUACUUGCUGGGAUUUUUCACUAAUUUACAGAAAAGGGCUAAUGAAAUGCACUCUUUUUUAAGACCUACUCAAUACUUUAUUUUAAAAGCAGGAAGCGAUCACUCAGAAGCUGGGUAUAUUGCACACUAACUCUCUACAUUUGAAGUGUUUCAGGGUCACGAUUUUCUUUCUUGUUGUGAAUGUUUGAGUAUGCUACCAGGUGACCGUUAAAAGGCUAAAGAUGUUAUGAGAUGUGAAGAUAGGCUGCAGUCCAGCUGGUUAGAUGUACAGAAAUUAUGUGAGGGGAAGAGUUGCAAAUGUAUUUACAAGAAGUUUAUUAUUUGAGAGCAUUUCUACACUGGUUUAAUUUGUGUGGGGAAAUGCUGCCCCUUUAACUCAUUGAAUUGAGCUUGGCAGAUGAGUUGGUAACUUAAAUGAUGCACUACUCCUCAUUUUAAACUUCACAAGCAGCGGGUAGCAGAAGGUGCUGUUUUAUUUGCAUUCUUGUACUCUGUGGAAGUGGGUAAAAGGCUCCUUCAGUAGUAUAUGGCUCACAGCCAGAUUUUUUAUUACAGAAAGUGUUCUAAAGCAUGAGACCUGUGUAAUUCAAUGUUGCUUUAGUUUCCACUUUUGUGGAAAUUCUGAUACUUCAUAAUAGUCACUUAGUUUUGUUCUGUUGGAAGAUGUCAAGUGAAUGACCAAGAUGGUAGUGGUGGAAAUAAAAUUCAGAAUUCUUUCUAGUGGAAGUAAAGUGUUAGUGUGGUUCUUCCGAAGAGUAUGUCCUAUAAAAGGAAGACAACUGCUCCUUGAUGCGACAGCUGCUUCCUACAGAUUACCUAGGCCCCCCCUCAUUUAAGGGUGGAAUGGAUGGCUGAGGAUUUCCUGCUAACACCUCCAUCCUGCUCCCAAAGAUUAAUUCCAGAUUCUGAGAAAACUGUCCCAAGACCCUGUAGCUACAGCCAUGCCAUCAUCAGUAACACCUAAACAGCUGACACGGUUGUCAUGGCCAGCAAGGACACCUGAAAGAGAAGAUGGAGGAAGUUAACAGCUGAAGCUUUUCAAGUUUUGUACAUUACUUAUCAGGUUAAAUUCACCUCAAGACAUCCUGGAAGAGAGUAUCCCACACAUUGCAGUUGAAGUCAUCAUAGCCGGCUAGCAAGAGACGACCACUUUUUGAGAAGGCUACAGAAGUGAUUCCACAGAUGAUAUUGUC